rnacentral:rRNA from 1 species
AUUUUGGACAAUGGGGGCAACCCUGAUCCAGCCAUCCCGCGUGUGCGAUGAAGGCNUUNNGGUUGNANAGCACUUUUGGCAGGNNNNNAAAGGCGCGGGUUAAUACCCUGUGCCGCUGACGGUACCUGCAGAAUAAGCACCGGCUAACUACGUGCCAGCAGCCGCAGUAAUACGUAGGGUGCAAGCGUUAAUCGGAAUUACUGGGCGUAAAGCGUGCGUCGGCGGUUUGGCAAGAAAGGUGUGAAAUCCCAGGGCUUAACCUUGGAACUGCACUUUUAACUGCCAGGCUAGAGUAUGUCAGAGGGGGGUAGAAUUCCGCGUGUAGCAGUGAAAUGCGUAGAGAUGCGGAGGAAUACCGAUGGCGAAGGCAGCCCCCUGGGAUAAUACUGACGCUCAGGCACGAAAGCGUGGGGAGCAAACA